GCCACUUUCUGGGGCCGACAGUCCACUGCCGGCGCCCCCUCCACCAGCUCCGGCCUCUGUGUCGAAGCCGAGAAAAGAGAAGUCCCUAUCGGUGCUGUGUGCUAGGUUUCUGGAAAUAUACCCGUUGGACGUCGGAAAGGACAUGUUCCUCCCCUUAGACGAGACGGCCCUUCUUUUGGGCACUGAGCGAAGAAGAAUAUAUGACAUAGUAAAUGUUCUAGAAAGUCUGCAUUUCUCGAUUAAGCUGGAAAAGAACCGGUACGCGUGGAUCGGUAGGCGCGACCUGUUGGAGACGCUGGGUCGGCUGAAGGGGCUGGCGCUGCACCUGGAGCUGCCGCAGCACCUGCGGGCGGCGCUGCAGGUGUCG
rnacentral:lncRNA from 1 species